ensembl:lncRNA
GGCACUGGUUGCUAUGGGGCGUGCAGUGAUCUGAUUGGUUACUAGGGGGCGGGCACCGGUUGCUAUGGAAGAGCAGUGAUCUGAUUGGUUAUUAGGGGCGGGCAGUGGUCUGAUUGGUUGCUAGGGGGCGGGCACUGGUUGCGAUGGGGCGAACAGUGGCCUGAUUGGUUGCUAGGGGCGGGCAGUAACCUGCUGAUUGGUUGCUAGGGGGCGUGUCCGUUGCUAUGGGCUUUGAUUGAUGGACAGGGCGGACCCGUUGCUAGGGGGCGGGGCUUCUCUGUUGCUAAGGGGAGGCUUCAGCCUCCUCAAGGCCUCACUUCCGGCGGGGCGGCCGCUGUUCCCGGAAGUAGUUCGUUCUCAAUCACCGGUGACCCGGAAGAACAUCGACGGGGCGGGGCAGAAGCGGCAAGAUGGCGGCGGAGGUUCCUCAGCAGCAGCCGGAGCCGCUCGGCCCCGAUGCGGACGGAGUGAACUGUUUAGCUUACGACGAAGCCAUCAUGGCGCAGCAGGACCGCAUCCAGCAGGAGAUCGCGGUGCAGAACCCGCUGGUGUCGGAGCGCCUGGAGCUGGCCGUGCUCUAUAAGGAAUACGCACAGGACGACCACAUCUACCAGCAGAAGAUCAAGGUGGGCACCAGUAUGGACCAGUAUAGACCAGUAUAGACCAGUAUAGACCAGUAUGGACCAGUAUGGACCAGUAUAGACCGGUAUAGACCAGUAUGGACCAGUAUAGAACAGUAUGGACCAGUAUGGACCAGUAUAGACCAGUAUAGACCAGUAUGGACCAGUAUAGACCGGUAUAGACCAGUAUAGACCAGUAUAGAAAAGUAUAGGCCAGUAUGGACCAGUAUAGGCCAGUAUGGACCAGUAUAGGCCAGUAUGGACCAGUAUGGACCAGUAUGGACCAGUAUAGACCAGUAUGGACCAGUAUGGACCGGUAUAGACCAGUAUGGACCAGUAUGGACCAGUAUAGACCAGUAUAGACCAGUAAGAACCAGUAUGGACCAGUAUAGACCAAUAUAGAACAGUAUGGAUCAGUAUAGACCAAUAUAGAACAGUAUGGAUCAGUAUAGAACAGUAUGGACCAGUAUAGACCAGUAUAGACUACUAUAGAUCAGUAUACACCAGUAUAGACCAGUAUGUAACACUAUAGACCAGUAUAGACCAGCAUAGACCAGUAUAGAACAGUAUAGACCAGUAUGGACCAGUAUAGACCAGUAUAGAACAGUAUAGACCAGUAUGGACCAGUAUAGACCAGUAUAGACCAGUAAGAACCAGUAUGGACCAGUAUAGACCAAUAUAGAACAGUAUAGACCAGUAUAGACCAGCAUAGACCAGUAUAGACCAGUAUAGACCAAUAUAGACCAGUAUAGAGCUGUAUGGACCAGUAUGGACCAGUAUAGACCAGUAUAGACCAGUAUAGAACAGUAUAGACCAGUAUGGACCACUAUGGACCAGUAUAGACCAGCAUAGACCAGUAUAGACCAGUAUAGACCAAUAUAGACCAGUAUAGAGCUGUAUAGACCAGUAUAGACCAGCAUAGACCAGUAUAGACCAAUAUAGACCAGUAUAAACCAGUAUAGA